CCCUUAGAUGUUCUGGGCCGCACGCGCGCUACACUGACGAAGUCAGCGAGCAUGUCCUACGCCGACAGGUGCGGGGAAUCUUGUCAAACUUCGUCGUGAUGGGGAUUGAUUAUUGAAAUUCUUGAUCAUCAACGAGGAAUUCCUAGUAAGCGCAAGUCAGCAGCUUGCGUUGAUUACGUCCCUGCCCUUUGUACACACCGCCCGUCGCUACUACCGAUUGGAUGGUUUAGCGAGAACUUUGGACCGGAGCUCGGGUGGUCAGCAAUGGUCGCCCGAGAUGUCUGGGAAAUCGUUCCAGCUUGAUCAUCUAGAGGAAGUAAAAGUCGUAACA
rnacentral:rRNA from 1 species